rnacentral:rRNA from 1 species
UACGUAGGGGGCAAGCGUUGUCCGGAUUCAUUGGGCGUAAAGAGCGUGUAGGCGGCCAGGUAGGUCGGUUGUGAAAACUGGAGGCUCAACCUUCAGAGGUCGACCGAAACCAUCUGGCUAGAGUCCGGGAGAGGAGAGUGGAAUUCCUGGUGUAGCGGUGAAAUGCGCAGAUAUCAGGAAGAACACCGGUGGCGAAGGCGGGUCUCUGGGCCGAUAUUGACGCUGAGGAGCGAAAGCGUGGGGAGCGAACAGG